AACGAACGCUGGCGGCAGGCUUAACACAUGCAAGUCGAGCGCCCCGCAAGGGGAGCGGCAGACGGGUGAGUAACGCGUGGGAAUCUACCCAUCUCUACGGAAUAACGCAUGGAAACGUGUGCUAAUACCGUAUACGUCCUUCGGGAGAAAGAUUUAUCGGAGAUGGAUGAGCCCGCGUUGGAUUAGCUAGAUGGUGGGUAAAGGCCUACCAAGGCGACGAUCCAUAGCUGGUCUGAGAGGAUGAUCAGCCACACUGGGACUGAGACACGGCCCAGACUCCUACGGGAGGCAGCAGUGGGGAAUAUUGGACAAUGGGCGCAAGCCUGAUCCAGCCAUGCCGCGUGAGUGAUGAAGGCCCUAGGGUGGUAAAGCUCUUUCACCGGUGAAGAUAAUGACGGUAACCGGAGAAGAAGCCCCGGCUAACUUCGUACCAGCCGCCGCGGUAAUAC
rnacentral:rRNA from 1 species